rnacentral:piRNA from 1 species
GCACACACUCAGACACACACCAGUGGC